rnacentral:tRNA from 1 species
GGCGAUGUAGCUCAGUCGGUUAGAGCAUACGGCUCAUAUCCGUAAGGUCGGUGGUUCGAGUCCACCCAUCGCUACCA